AUGACUUACCAUACAACAUCCAGGUCAAAGGGGGCAUAGUGUAGAAUGCGUACCUUGCGGAGUACAUCUAGGAGACGCUGUUGUCACAUAAGCCCCACGCCCCUGAUCUAUAGAAAAACAGAGGGAUAAAGAACACAAGAGUCAAAUAUGCCAAAGGUGCCUGAGAUGUUGCCUAAGAUGAGCACUGAAGAGUGUCUGUGGGAUCAGGAAGUAUGGAUAUUAAUGAUGCCCAUGACGAGACUAGUUCCAGUGGAGGUACUGGGACAAAAGCUCCAUGGAAGGGGGCUGAGGAGAGAAUCUCUCAGCGGAAUUUGAGCAGUUUUCCUUUGCAGGGCAACCGGUAAUGUCCAGUAGCUGCAGACUAGGGUGGUGGAAGACGGUGGGUUUCCCCCUGUGCUGUGGAAUGCUCCGAUGUAGAGGGAGCAGGUGCUGGUUCAGGAGAGAGGAAUGAUAACUGCAGGGGCAAAGUCCCUGAGAAGGUGCAAGGCAUGGGAUCCCGGGCAGAGGUGAGCAGCUCCGUGCAGUCAGGAGCAGACUUGGAGGGGGCAGCAGAGUGCCAGGGCAGAAACAUGCAGAUCGGGACUGGGAAACUUGAGAAAUCCCACCGGAUUGCUUCGGUAUUCUCCAGGAAUUAUUGGCGCGUGGGGCUGGUGGUCAUUAGCAUGGAGGAAGGUUAGGAGUGUGUAGUGUAGGGGUGUAGUUAGGUGACCCUGAAACUGAACAGCGGUCUACUCCGGCCAUGGAUUUAAGAUAAAACACUUCUGUAAAGUUUUCUCCUCGAUGCUCAGGUGCUCAGACACAGGCAGGGAGUGGGCAGGCAGGAGGGUGCAAGGAGCACAAGAGGUGUGUUUGUCGGGGAGAGGUGUGUUUGCGGGGGACAGCUUCCAGCCCUGGCUCAGCCCAUCCAGGAGGGGCCUGGCGCAUGGUGUGAAAGGACGCGCGGUCGGUGAGCUGGGUCUCCAGGAGGCUGUGGCAUCAGUGCACUGGCACUAGUGCGAGGGAGCUGGAGGACAGGACGUCAUGUUGAGGGUGAAGACAGGGAGGAAUGCUGGAACCAGGACACCACGAGGGGCGCGGUCCUUCCUGAUGCCCGGGGCGGGACCGUGGGCAGAGGGAUGCUCGGGUGGGGAGGAAGGGAGCAUCGCUAAG
ensembl:lncRNA